GUGUCAGCCGCCGCGGUAAUACGGAGGGUGCAAGCGUUAUCCGGAUUCAUUGGGUUUAAAGGGUGCGCAGGCGGAUACUUAAGUCAGUGGUGAAAUCCCGGGGCUCAACCCCGGAACUGCCAUUGAUACUGAAUAUCUGGAAUACGGUUGAAGUGGGCGGAAUGUAGCAUGUAGCGGUGAAAUGCAUAGAGAUGCUACAGAACACCGAUCGCGAAGGCAGCUCACUAAGCCGAUAUUGACGCUCAGGCACGAAAGCGUGGGGAGCGAACAGGAUUAGAUACCCUGGUAGUCCACGCCGUAAACGAUGAUAACUCGUUGUUGGCGACACACAGUCAGCGACUAAGCGAAAGCGAUAAGUUAUCCACCUGGGGAGUACGAUCGCAAGGUUGAAACUCAAAGGAAUUGACGG
rnacentral:rRNA from 1 species